UUUCAGGGUAUCUUGGAUACAGGGGCAGAUACCACAGUCAUUUCACUGUCUCACUGGCCAUCUGCUUGGCCACUGGUUCCAUCCCUCACCGAUUUAAAAGGAAUCGGUCAGUCUAAUAAUCCUUUAAUUAGUUCAAGGACACUUUCCUGGAAGGACGAGGAAGGAAACCAGGGGACUGUCACUCCUUUUGUGGUUAUGGGCCUGCCUGUUAAUCUUUGGGGUAGGGACAUACUUUCACAAAUGCAAGUAAUGUUAUAUAGCCCAAACUCUACAGUCACACAACUAAUGCUAUGCAUGAAUUAUAUCCCUGGCACAGGCUUGGGUAAGGAAGCUCAGGGGAGAGUCCAACAAAUUCAGCCCAUUCCCAAGGAGGAUAGACAUGGGCUGGGAUAUUCAGGUUUUUAGUAGCGGCCACUGACCCUCCUGUACCCCAUGCAGACAAAAUUAUCUGGAUGACCCAGACCCCUGUCUGGGUGGAUCAGUGGCCCCUUACUCAGGAAAAGCUACAGGCCUCCAUUAUGCUUGUACAGGAGCAGCUUAUGGCUGGCCACAUUGAGCCUUCCAACUCCCCUUGGAAUACAACUAUAUUUGUUAUUAAAAAGAAGUCAGGAAAAUGGAGGCUCCUUCAAGACUUAAGGACAGUAAAUAAGGUAAUGAGGCCUAUGGGGGCAGUUCAGCCUGGAUUGCCUUCGCCUGUGGCUAUUCCUGCUAAAUUUUACGACAUGGUCAUUGACCUUAAAGAUUGUUUCUUUACUAUUCCCUUGCACCCCAAGGACAGAGCCUAUUUUGCAUUCAGCCUUCCCCACCCCAAUUUUCAGGGACCCAUGCUUCGCUACCAAUGAAAAGUAUUACCCCAUGGCAUGGCCAACAGUCUUACUCUCUGCCAGAAAUUCGUGGCUCAGGCUGUGGACCCUGUCAGACUUAAUUGGCCCCAGAUAUAUAUCUUACAUUGUAUGGAUGACCUUCUCGCUGCACCUGACCCCAUCUCCCUUGAGCAAUAUUUUUCAGAACUCAGUAGAGCCCUUAAUGGACUGGGACUACAGAUUGCUCCAGAUAAGGUCCAAACCCAGGAUCCUUUCAGUUACCUGGAGUUGGAACUUCAUUCAAACCAUGUCCUCAUUCCUCGCAUCCAGUUACGCACUGACCAUCUCCAUACCCUAAAUGAUUUCCAACAAUUGCUGGGCCAUAUCUAAGGCUUAGGUCUUAUCUUAAACAUCCUAUGUAUUCUCUCCUUCCCCUCUACGAGAUCCUCCGGGGCAACCCUGACCCCACAUCACCCUGUGUGCUUUCCCCUGCAGCCAACGAGGCUUUGAUUCAGAUAGCCAUUGCCAUUAACCAACAGUCUUGCUUUCAGAUUUCCUAUGCCAUACCUCUAUAUUUUAUAGUUCUGCCCACACCACACACACUCACAGGAGUCUUUUGGCAACAUGCUCAAGAACCAAAACUUAAAGGCAAGAUACUCCUCUGGGUCCACAUGCCUGCUGCCCUUUCGAGAGUCAUUUCUGUCUUCCCCGAACAGGUGGCCUCACUCAUUAUGAAAGGAUGACUGACCUCUCGCCAAUAUUUUGAACCUGUUGUAGGCCUGCUCCUGGUCCUUGCCUUUGGGCCAUGGGCACUUUCCUGGGUCACUCGGUUCAUCUGAAGCCAAAUAACAGACCUGCUGGCCAGGCAGCUCCAGGUUCAUUACCACUGCUUUGAUAUACAGGACUCCAGGGUUGAAAUUUCCCCUGACAGAGAUGCCCCACACAGACCCCUUCACUCGGGGGAGGCUGCACCUGUGUGUGGGAAAAAGGCUCGCUCAAGGCAUGAUUGGAGUGCAGUUGGGACUGCACAGGCUGAGGACCAUGGAACACCAAAUUCCCAAGAGCCUGGAUUAUGUGCCCUGUUGCAUAGCGGUUGUGCAGUAGCAACCUUGCGCUUACCCAUUUCUGCUCCCUCAAAAAACUGCACCGUCCAUUGAUUCCUGCACUAUGGGGAGGCCUGUGGUGCUUGAGUCUGGAGAGACAUUCCCUCUUGGAACCUUUUUUCUCAACCUUUAGAGGGAUAGGGCCUCUGUAAUCCUCCAUGCAAAGCCUCUUUCAGAGCCCUCCUUUUAGACCAUUUGAACCUGGUUUAUGUUGGCCCUUACAUUUAUUACUAAGAAGGGGGAGAUGUCAGGGACAAGGUCAGAAUCUCUAAGGACAGGCAACUAGGUCAUCUUACAUUCAGGUUGCCUAGCAAUAGGACAUUGAGGCAGAGCCCUUGACCCUUUACCCUGAAAACAUCCUAUACAAACAUCCUGUUAGCUUGCCCCACCUUAUGCAAAUAACAGCUUCUUGCUCCCCCCACCCUGCAGGAACUAUAUAAACAUUCUUGGAGAAAAAUAAAGUUGUACCUUGAUCAGAA